CGGCAGGUGGACUCUCAACCACUGCGCCACCGGAGAAGCCCUGUCGGCUUUUUAAUUUCAAGGUCCUGAGUAUCGCCCAGCGUUCUUUGAAUUUUCUGGUAUCUACUGCACCCCAUUGUGCGCGGUACCGGAUGUAGCCACGAGGGGGCGAUAUGAGCCACUGAUUAUUCCCAAUUGAAGGUCUAAAGGAGAAGAGUGCUGACGGUUCACUUUCGUGGCAUUUGACCAAUCACCCAGGAGCUGCGCCGAACCCAAAGUUCUUCAUCUUGGAGUCACCCCGGCUCCAGGGUGGUCCCGGGCGGGCAAAAGGCCCGCGCUGCCCAGGCCUCGAGCACUGGCUAUAGACGCUCAGCCACUUCCUCGAGCAAAGUCCCCUAAAGGGUCCUGACCCGAGAAGCAGUCGGGCUUCUCUCGUUGAUAGAAAAUGUUCCUCACCUUCCUGUCACACUGUGGCCGCUCUUCCCCAUGUUCUUAUAGCCUAAGCUGUGUACUGGGACGGGCGCAGGGAAAGUGAGGACGAGUGAUAGCAAAGCAGAUGCAGGAAGCGGGAAAGAUGAGGAGGAAGACAGCAAGGAACGCAGGAAGGAGAGAGGGCUCUCGAGAGUAGAAUCGGAGGCGGAGGAGGAGGCAAUCCCACGAAGUCCCAAGGGCUGUCCUGAGGGUCUUCAGAGCUCCCAGGGCAGCGGGAAGAGGACACUUGGAAAGAAGAGGAAAAGAACUUUUUUUUUUCCUCGCGGGAAUUUUACCUCAGGGCAGAAAACUCUAGAAAUGGCGGCAGAGCAGGUGGAUUUAGGGGAGCCCUAAAAGUUAUUCCCUGUCGCUCACCCCGAAUGGAUUUCAUUUCAUUCUACGACCAGCAAACCUGAAGAGACGGCCGAGGGCAGGCGAGUCAGGCGCCUCCUGGCGUCGUGGAGGAAGCGGGCUCGGGGCGGAGUGACGAGAGCGCCCGGCGGGAGGCCGCUCCUGGGCCCGCGGGGCUGUGCGCGGCCUGGCUCAGUGGAGGGAGCAGCGGAGCGGCCGUUAGAGGGUUCCAUGGUGUAAUGGACACCUGCCAGAGGAUGAAGGCACACGCACACGGGUGGCGGCCAUCCCCUGCUCAAGCUGGACGUCAUAAAUCAAGCUCCAUGGCACCGCCCGCGCGGAGUAUUCACCGCCCCAUCUCAGGACGCCUCCGCCCUUUCGUUUGGGACUGUCGCUUUCUACGCCAAGUGUUCUGCAAAGUCAAGACAAUUCCUAUUCAAAAUUUUUUCUUCUGUGUUUUCGAAUUUCUCAUUGUUAAUCCCUUGUAGUACGUACGUUUCCUUUCAGACAGUGUAGUUUUCAUCUCUCUACGUUAGAGUGGGUCUUUUUUUUUAAAAUGUUUUUCCGUGUGUACAUUUAACUGUUUUAAGUUACGGAAUACAGGUGGAAUGAAUGUUUUAAUGUC